rnacentral:rRNA from 1 species
CAGCCGCCGCGGUAAUACGUAGGGUGCGAGCGUUAAUCGGAUUUACUGGGCGUAAAGCGUGCGCAGGCGGCCCGUUAAGACAGGUGUGAAAUCCCUGGGCUCAACCUAGGAAUUGCGCUUGUGACUGGCGGGCUCGAGUACGGUAGAGGGGGGUGGAAUUCCUGGUGUAGCAGUGAAAUGCGUAGAGAUCAGGAGGAACACCGAUGGCGAAGGCAGCCCCCUGGGCCUGUACUGACGCUCAUGCACGAAAGCGUGGGGAGCAAACAGGAUUAGAUACCCUGGUAGUCCACGCCCUAAACGAUGGGUACUAGCCGUUCGGUGCGCGAUAGCGCUGAGUGGCGAAGCUAACGCGUGAAGUACCCCGCCUGGGGAGUACGGCCGCAAGGUUGAAACUUAAAGGAAUUGGCGGG